UGUUACCAUGACAAUAAAUAUUUCAACUUAAUUUUAUCAAAAAUGCCUCGCGAUCCCUUUCCUCAUCCAAGAUUUGAAAACGACAACGAUUUUACAUCUGCUAAACAUGAAUUGCUUUUCUCGUUGAUAUAAACCAACCCACCAAGUUUCAUCAAAAUCUGAGGGGGUCCAUGUUGGACCCUGGUUCACUUGGCAUGGAAUGACCAAAAGGUUUCUUUUGGCACAUUUGCAGUUUCUAAAUCUAAACAAAAUGUACCCUGGAAUCAUCUUUAUGAAACAAAAACACUGGCUAGUGAAAGAAGAACUGUUUACCACGAUGAUCCACAGGUUGUAUAUAAAAUGUAGUAACGUUUUUAAUUUAUGUAUGAUAAAAGUCUCAUCCAUUACAAUGAAAAUGGUUUUAAUCACUUUACAACAGUUUUUAGGACUGUUUUGUAAUAGUUUAUUUAAUUUUUAGGCCCCUCGUGAUAGUUUAGACUUUGUAAUAAAAUCUGUGUAUAAUCAUCAUAAAGACUUCCUUCGAUCAAAUGCAGAAACAUUAUAUCAACCGGAAACAUUGAACCUUCAAAAUUUGUAUAAAUAGUUUACUGUUUAGAUUAGUUACUUUCAUUUAAUUUGUUGAGUUUAUUUCAUUUAGCUAUUCAGAUAUCAGAUCAAUAAAUUUUUAUUAGUCAUUAUUUAGUUGUUGAAUAAGUUAUUAUCUCUUGAAGUAUCAUUUUUUAUUCAGUUUUUGUGUAUAUUUCUAUACAAAGCUUGUUCUUUUUUUCAUAUGUUAAGUCGCCUGGUAAAUAAUAAAGAUACGCAGAAUCAGGGCCAAAAUAAAGAUAGUCUUCCAGUUAUAUCUGUAUCAGACAAAAGAGAAAGUAUCCAUUGCAUAAAUGGAGCAAUAUCAAGCCAUCAUUGUGCUGCUACAAAUCGUGGUUACUCAA